CUUUAAAUACGUUAACACGUAUUUUCACGUACAUUUUUACCUACGAAUAUAUCAAAAACAUCCUAACAACUUUACUCAAAUUCCUCAACCAAAUACCCCUUAAAGAUCUAAUAAAAAUAAAAAUCCAGAGUUCCGGUCCUCCAAUUCAAACCAAGUACGACACUUCCGUGGCCAUCGUCUUGGCCAAACGUACAAUAUUUCAGGUCAGUGAAUGUGAAUUACUCUUACUCAUGUCGUUCUUCUUCUUCAUCUUCUUUCUCUUAUAUGUCGUCUAACGGUCUAGGUUUUAUUUUUGUGUUUGCUUUUAUCAUUACUGAGUUUGAAAGCUUGAACCUUAUUUACUAAUUGGCUUUAGUAUUUUUAAAUUAAAUUUGAUAAUUGAUCUGGGUUUUUAAUCUUUUUAUCUGGGUUUUAAUAAAUUUGUGUGCUUGAUAAAGCUCUGUUUGUCUCUAUGGGAAAAUACCCAGAAAAGUUUGCCAUGAAAGACAUGGUUUAAUCAAACCGUUUUAAGGGAUAAAAUAAGUGAUUGAUGGUUUAGAGAGGCAUUUGUAUUUGUAAGAAGUUAGAAAGAAAGGAAAGUACUUUUUGAAUAUGCUCAAGAAAACCCAGUCUUGAAUUUUUUAGUAUUUUCCUUGUUCUCUGGGAAAUUAACCAGGUUUUUGUUUUUGGACACAGAAGACAAAAUUUAAAAAGGAGAGAUAAAAUUUAAAUAAAUUGGAUGUUUGCUACAAAUUAAAAUGGAAGUUAGGCUUUUUGUUUUGUUAUUAAUCUUUGCAUAUAGAGUUGUUGGGCGUUUGGAACUGGGAAGGAGCUAUGGUUUAUGGACAGUUAAGAAAGUAGUAUUAAAUUAAAAGGACUCUACUCUUGUGGUGUUCAUUCAUUUUUUGGUUGUAAAUAUAUAUAUAUAUAUAUACAUAUUUUUUUUUUUCAGUUAGGGAAAGUGAAUAAUUUCAGGUAAACUAAAUGGAAGUUAGGCUUUUCUUUUACUUGGUAUUCUUGUUUGCUUUUGUAUUUUUAUAUAUUGGAAGGAGCCUCUGCUUUACACUCCAAUGCAAAUUUUGUCUUUUUAGUUAAGGGUAGCGUACAGUGAAGGAAGCUUUAAUUUUAAUGGCUUUAGCCAUAUGUUUAUCUUUUUUUAAUCUCUAUCUGUUCAACUAUGUAUUAAGGGUCAUGUAAAUAUGAGUCUUGCCAAAUCAAGCUCCAAAUUGGCCAAAAUAUAUUAAGUUGAGUCUGAAAAUAAACUUGAAAUUAGUUUAAAGCUACUGCAUCAUACCAAGGUUAUUCUUUUAAGUUUGAGUUAUUGAUCUUGACGUACUCCAAUAUGGAGCUAACUUUUGCAUUCCCUUGUUUUUGCUUGUAUCUUGUUGCAUAGCUCAAAUGGAGAGCAUUGCAGAUCCCGGGCCAAUUGAUAAUUUUGUACUUUUGUUUUAAUUUUUUUCCCCAAUAUUUUAAAUGACUGCGAGGAAUUCUUAGUACUGUGAGGACUAUGUGAAAUGAAAACAAAUUAAUUAGGAAUGUGUCAAAUUUCCCUAAAUUAAUCAAUACUGUGGUCAAACUAAAAGCUUCAGAAUUUACUUAAAUUUACUGCUUUUCUUUCUUCUUUACCUAACAACUUGAUUCAUAGGAAAAUAAUCUAGCUUGAUGAUUUGCACUUAAAUCUUGGCACUGCACUGCCUGUGUUUUGCUGAGGAAUUUGAUGAAAUGGUCUUUUACUUGUUAAUCAUAGACUUAUAAUUGAUUUUCAUGCUAACUGCAUUCAAUUUUUGUAUUGAUUUUUACAAUUAUUCUCUUGAUUUUGAAAGAGGAGUGAGUUUGAGGGGUGUGGUUUUUAUUUUCUUGUUUUUGUGUUACUUAUAAAAAAUUUAAGAUUUCCAAUGCAUGUUUUGGAAAGAUGGAUAGCCCUUCCAAAUCAUCGGUGGCAACUUGCAUUAUUUCUGGAUUCUUCCAGCGGUGCUCUAACAGUAACAUUGUCAGGAAUUAGCACCUAAAUUUAUUUGUAUGAGAAGGGUACCUCUCAAUUGUACCUAAUAAGAUGCAGAAGAUGUAUAACUCAAUCUUGACUUACAGAGAACGCAAUUGGAUAUUGAAGAUUUUUUGGAAAAAAAAAAAAUUUAAUAGGAUAUGACAGAGAAAGUUGAAGUUUAAUGAGCUUCUGUAAAAUCUUUUACUUUGACAUAGUAAAUGUGUGUGUGUGUCUUUAAUGUUUAACAUGCGAAAUAGAACCUGUGGAGCUCCUGAAGUUUUACAUAUAUGCAACUAUUCACUUAAUAUCCUAUACUGAACUGAUAAUGCUUUGUAAUUAGUUUUUGUCUCAUGGAAGUCAUUGUUGAACACAAAUAUAUGUCUCCUAAGUUAAGUCUUUCUUCUUGUGAUCUUCUAUUUGUCUAUUGUCAUGGCUGUGCUGGGAAGAUAGACUAUUGAGAGCAAAGCCUUUAGGCUUAAAUACUAUUUUAACCUAUGUACCUUGGAAUUUGCAUAAACCAAAAUCGGGAAAGCUGAUUUUUGAGGGGAUUGCAGUUGCUAUGGAGCCAACUCUCAGACUAAGAAUGUCAGAUCCUGCGCUUUCCUUCACUCAGUCUAGUCCCUUGCAAAAUCAAUCAUAGGACAAUAUACACUUGCGUCCUAGGCAAGAAAGCUUAAGCUUUUAGUAUAACUAGUAUAAUUCCUUUUGUAGAAAAAUAGUCAGAUGGGCUAGGGUCAGGGUUUUGAUGGGUGUGUUGGAGAUGGAAUUGUGGGGAGGAGACGAGGGAAUUCGUACUGUUGUCUCAAUAUGCAUUGGAAUUGAAGAAGGCAAAUGAACCAAAAGUUGUUUAGGAUUGCAUGCUAUCAGUUGUGUUACUUCGGUGGUUGAAUUGCUAGCACAAUUUGCUCUUUUUGCUAGAAGCCAUAUGGAAAAGCAAGACGUUACCAAUUGCCAAUGGAAGAUGUUAAGAGUUGGAGGGAGGCCUAAAUUACCGAUUAGGAUGGAGACGUGAUUAAACUUAGGAGCUCCCACAUUGAUACUAUUUUACAUGGAGAUUAGAAAAUUAUGAAUUUAGUCAUUUAGCAUACUUCUAAUACUGAGUUUAGUGUUUUGCAAGGGCUUUCAAAACCCUAGUUUUUAACUGUAUGAGAUGCAUGGCGGAGGAUCAAAUUUGACCCACUUUCUCGUUUUUUAACUAGGAGAUACAAAACAAACAGACUUGCUGUGUUUUAUUUAUUUAUUUGAUUUUAUUAUUAUUAUUAUUAUUAUUAUUA